UACGUAGGGUGCGAGCGUUAAUCGGAAUUACUGGGCGUAAAGCGUGCGCAGGCGGUUCGUUGUGUCGGCGGUGAAAGCCCCGGGCUUAACCUGGGAAUGGCCGUUGAAACUGGCGAACUGGAGUGUGGCAGAGGGGGGUGGAAUUCCGCGUGUAGCAGUGAAAUGCGUAGAGAUGCGGAGGAACACCGAUGGCGAAGGCAGCCCCCUGGGCUAACACUGACGCUCAUGCACGAAAGCGUGGGGAGCAAACAGG
rnacentral:rRNA from 1 species